GGAGGUGCCGAGAAUCUGAGUUUCGGCAAGCAGCCAGGUCUGGAAACUGUGAGUGUGUGGGCUUUUCUCCGACGUCGAGCGUGGUCCUAGCGUAAACAGAUGCAUUCGCCUCUCCGGUUUCAAUCUUUUUUUACGUUUGCGCUUUCCUCAAGGCCGGUGGGUCAGGAGUGGAGCCUUAGUCAUUCUAACGCUGGAGGUGUCAGUAGGACCAACAGAGUCUGGUGCCGACACGGCUUACUGUUGCGCGCUCUUCUAGGCCUCAACUUCCUCUCAACUGUGUGGUCAGUUCAGGGCCGGGAAUCCAAUCUUUUCCGAGCUCCAUAUUUUAUCCACUUGGUGGCGUCCAGUCCCAAGUCCGGCAGUUGAAUUCUGCCCUAAAGAUGGGCUUUAUUUCUAUCUUUUUUUAGGUAACAGGACAUUCAGUUAGUAAUGAUGGUUGCAGGUUGAAUAGUCUCGCCCUAGAUCUCACCUAACUUGCAGAAUAUUUUAAAAAUGACUACACCAAACAAGACACCUCCUGGUGCUGACCCCAAGCAGUUGGAAAGGACUGGAACAGUACGGGAAAUUGGGUCACAAGCUGUUUGGUCACUCUCAUCUUGCAAACCAGGAUUUGGAGUGGAUCAGUUACGAGAUGACAAUCUAGAAACUUAUUGGCAAUCAGAUGGUUCCCAGCCUCAUUUAGUGAACAUCCAAUUCAGGUAAUUAAUACAUUUUCAAAUUUUUCAUCUACUGUAGGUUAUAGACAAAUAAAUCUAUUUUAUUAACAUAAAAAUUAAAGAUAGAAAUUACAAUGAAAUACACUUAACUUUUUAAAC
rnacentral:lncRNA from 1 species